UGGCGGCAGGCCUAACACAUGCAAGUCGAGCGGAUGACGGGAGCUUGCUCCUUGAUUCAGCGGCGGACGGGUGAGUAAUGCCUAGGAAUCUGCCUGGUAGUGGGGGACAACGUUUCGAAAGGAACGCUAAUACCGCAUACGUCCUACGGGAGAAAGCAGGGGACCUUCGGGCCUUGCGCUAUCAGAUGAGCCUAGGUCGGAUUAGCUAGUUGGUGGGGUAAUGGCUCACCAAGGCGACGAUCCGUAACUGGUCUGAGAGGAUGAUCAGUCACACUGGAACUGAGACACGGUCCAGACUCCUACGGGAGGCAGCAGUGGGGAAUAUUGGACAAUGGGCGAAAGCCUGAUCCAGCCAUGCCGCGUGUGUGAAGAAGGUCUUCGGAUUGUAAAGCACUUUAAGUUGGGAGGAAGGUCAGUAAGUUAAUACCUUGCUGUUUUGACGUUACCGACAGAAUAAGCACCGGCUAACUCUGUGCCAGCAGCCGCGGUAAUACAGAGGGUGCAAGCGUUAAUCGGAAUUACUGGGCGUAAAGCGCGCGUAGGCGGUUUGUUAAGUCAGAUGUGAAAUCCCCGCGCUUAACGUGGGAACUGCAUUUGAAACUGGCAAGCUAGAGUCUUGUAGAGGGGGGUAGAAUUCCAGGUGUAGCGGUGAAAUGCGUAGAGAUCUGGAGGAAUACCGGUGGCGAAGGCGGCCCCCUGGACAAAGACUGACGCUCAGGUGCGAAAGCGUGGGGAGCAAACAGGAUUAGAUACCCUGGUAGUCCACGCUGUAAACGAUGUCGACUUGGAGGUUGUGCCCUUGAGCGUGGCUUUCCGGAGCUAACGCGUUAAGUCGACCGCCUGGGGAGUCCGGCCGCAAGGGUAAAACUCAAAUGAAUUGACGGGGGCCCGCACAAACGGUGGAGCAUGUGGUUUAAUUCGAUGCAACGCGAAGAACCUUACUACUCCUUGACAUCCAGAGAAUUCGCUAGAGAUAGCUUAGUGCCUUCGGGAACUCUGAGACAGGUGCUGCAUGGCUGUCGUCAGCUCGUGUUGUGAAAUGUUGGGUUAAGUCCCGCAACGAGCGCAACCCUUAUCCUUUGUUGCCAGCACGUAAUGGUGGGAACUCAAAGGAGACUGCCGGUGAUAAACCGGAGGAAGGUGGGGAUGACGUCAAGUCAUCAUGGCCCUUACGAGUAGGGCUACACACGUGCUACAAUGGCGUAUACAAAGAGAAGC
rnacentral:rRNA from 1 species